rnacentral:rRNA from 1 species
AUUGAACGCUGGCGGCAUGCCUAACACAUGCAAGUCGAACGGCAGCACGGCAGUAGCAAUACUGUGGGUGGCGAGUGGCGGACGGGUGAGGAAUACGUCGGAAUCUGCCCAGUCGUGGGGGAUAACUAGCCGAAAGGUUAGCUAAUACCGCAUACGACCGAGAGGUGAAAGCGGGGGACCGCAAGGCCUCGCGCGAUUGGAUGAGCCGACGUCGGAUUAGCUAGUUGGUGGGGUAAAGCCCACAAGGCGACGAUCCGAGCUGGUCUGAGAGGAUGAUCAGCCACACUGGAACUAGAGACACGGUCCAGACUCCUACGGGAGGCAGC